UGAGGAAUAUUGGUCAAUGGGCGAGAGCCUGAACCAGCCAAGUAGCGUGCAGGAUGACGGCCCUAUGGGUUGUAAACUGCUUUUGUACGGGGAUAAAGUGGGGGUCGUGACCCCUAUUGCAGGUACCGUACGAAUAAGGACCGGCUAAUUCCGUGCCAGCAGCCGCGGUAAUACGGAAGGUCCGGGCGUUAUCCGGAUUUAUUGGGUUUAAAGGGAGCGUAGGCCGUCUUUUAAGCGUGUUGUGAAAUGUAGGGGCUCAACCUCUGCACUGCAGCGCGAACUGGAAGACUUGAGAGUGCACGAGGCAGGCGGAAUUUGUGGUGUAGCGGUGAAAUGCUUAGAUAUCACGAAGAACUCCGAUUGCGAAGGCAGCUUGCCGGAGCAUUUCUGACGCUGAAGC
rnacentral:rRNA from 1 species